rnacentral:rRNA from 1 species
ACAAUAUUUUUAUUAUAAGUAUUUUAUAUUCAUUUUAUUUAUAAUAAGUAUUUUUAACUAUUUAUGUUUUAUUAUCCUAAAGAAAAAAUUAGCUAAAUUAUAGUUUACUAGUAAAGUAAUUGUUUAACAUUCUAUUUUUAUAAAGUAAAUUUAUAUUGUACCUUUGGUAUCAGGGUUGAUCAAAAUUUUAUUAUAAAUUUAAUUAUCUCGAUAUAAAUAGAUCUAUUUAACUAUGAUAAUUAAUGUAUCAUAAUUAUUAUUAAUUUUUAAAUAGAGGUGAAAUGCCAUUCGGGUUUUAAGAUAUCUAGUUUCUUAAGAAUAAAUUUAAUUUUAUUUAUGAUAGUAAAUUUUUAUUUUGAUAAUUUUUAUUAUCAUAAAUUUACCUUUGAGGGGAUAAGCUCUCUAAGUUCUUUUUUAUAAAUUAUUUUAUAUUUAAAGCAUAUAGGCUUUAAAUCAGCCAUUUAUAUUACGUUAUAGUAAAUUAUAUAAUUAUAUUGAUUUAAUAAUGAUUUUAGGUUGUUAAUUGAGAUUUAAACAAUAAUUUUAUCUGUUUAGUAAUAAUGAUUAAAUUAGUAUGUAGUUAUAUAAUUAGUAAAUUUAUAUUAAAUUUAUAAGAAGGAACUAGGCAAAUUUUAUUUUAUUUUCGCCUGUUUAACAAAAACAUGUCUUUAUGAUUUAAUUUAAAGUCUUACCUGCUCACUGAAUUAAUUUAAAUAGCCGCGGUAUAUUGACCGUGCGAAGGUAGCAUAAUCAUUAGUCUUUUAAUUGGAGGCUGGAAUGAAUGGUUUGACGAAAAAUAAGCUGUCUCUUUAUAAUAAUCAGAACUUAACUUUUGAGUUAGAAUGCUCAAAUAAAUUUUUUGGACGAGAAGACCCUAUAGAGCUUUACUUGAAUUAAAAUCAUUAUAUUUAAGAUCUUAUAUUUAAUGAUUUUAAUCAAGUUUCGUUGGGGUGAUGUAAAUAAUAAAUAAACUAUUUAUUUUGAUGCCACUGAUUUGUGUUUAUUUGAUCCAUAAUUUAUGAUUAUAAGAUUAAGUUACCUUAGGGAUAACAGCGUAAUAGCUUUUGAGAGUUCAUAUUGACGAAGAAGAUUGCGACCUCGAUGUUGGAUUAGGACUAAAUUAUAUUGGUGUAGAAGCUGUGUAAAUAGGUCUGUUCGACCUUUAAACUCCUACAUGAUCUGAGUUCAGACCGGUUUAAGCCAGAGUCGGUUUCUAUCCAGAAAUAGAGAAUUAUUUAUUAGUACGAAAGGACCAUAUUUAAAAGAAAUUCUUAAUUAAAAUUUGAUUACUUUUAAAAUCU